rnacentral:rRNA from 1 species
CACACUAUCAUUAACUGAAUCCAUAGGUUAAUGAGGCGAACCGGGGGAACUGAAACAUCUAAGUACCCCGAGGAAAAGAAAUCAACCGAGAUUCCCCCAGUAGCGGCGAGCGAACGGGGAGCAGCCCAGAGCCUGAAUCAGUGUGUGUGUUAGUGGAAGCGUCUGGAAAGGCGCGCGAUACAGGGUGACAGCCCCGUACACAAAAAUGCACAUGCUGUGAGCUCGAUGAGUAGGGCGGGACACGUGGUAUCCUGUCUGAAUAUGGGGGGACCAUCCUCCAAGGCUAAAUACUCCUGACUGACCGAUAGUGAACCAGUACCGUGAGGGAAAGGCGAAAAGAACCCCGGCGAGGGGAGUGAAAAAGAACCUGAAACCGUGUACGUACAAGCAGUGGGAGCACGCUUAGGCGUGUGACUGCGUACCUUUUGUAUAAUGGGUCAGCGACUUAUAUUCUGUAGCAAGGUUAACCGAAUAGGGGAGCCGAAGGGAAACCGAGUCUUAACUGGGCGUUAAGUUGCAGGGUAUAGACCCGAAACCCGGUGAUCUAGCCAUGGGCAGGUUGAAGGUUGGGUAACACUAACUGGAGGACCGAACCGACUAAUGUUGAAAAAUUAGCGGAUGACUUGUGGCUGGGGGUGAAAGGCCAAUCAAACCGGGAGAUAGCUGGUUCUCCCCGAAAGCUAUUUAGGUAGCGCCUCGUGAAUUCAUCUCCGGGGGUAGAGCACUGUUUCGGCAAGGGGGUCAUCCCGACUUACCAACCCGAUGCAAACUGCGAAUACCGGAGAAUGUUAUCACGGGAGACACACGGCGGGUGCUAACGUCCGUCGUGAAGAGGGAAACAACCCAGACCGCCAGCUAAGGUCCCAAAGUCAUGGUUAAGUGGGAAACGAUGUGGGAAGGCCCAGACAGCCAGGAUGUUGGCUUAGAAGCAGCCAUCAUUUAAAGAAAGCGUAAUAGCUCACUGGUCGAGUCGGCCUGCGCGGAAGAUGUAACGGGGCUAAACCAUGCACCGAAGCUGCGGCAGCGACGCUGAUGCGUUGUUGGGUAGGGGAGCGUUCUGUAAGCCUGCGAAGGUGUGCUGUGAGGCAUGCUGGAGGUAUCAGAAGUGCGAAUGCUGACAUAAGUAACGAUAAAGCGGGUGAAAAGCCCGCUCGCCGGAAGACCAAGGGUUCCUGUCCAACGUUAAUCGGGGCAGGGUGAGUCGACCCCUAAGGCGAGGCCGAAAGGCGUAGUCGAUGGGAAACAGGUUAAUAUUCCUGUACUUGGUGUUACUGCGAAGGGGGGACGGAGAAGGCUAUGUUGGCCGGGCGACGGUUGUCCCGGUUUAAGCGUGUAGGCUGGUUUUCCAGGCAAAUCCGGAAAAUCAAGGCUGAGGCGUGAUGACGAGGCACUACGGUGCUGAAGCAACAAAUGCCCUGCUUCCAGGAAAAGCCUCUAAGCAUCAGGUAACAUCAAAUCGUACCCCAAACCGACACAGGUGGUCAGGUAGAGAAUACCAAGGCGCUUGAGAGAACUCGGGUGAAGGAACUAGGCAAAAUGGUGCCGUAACUUCGGGAGAAGGCACGCUGAUAUGUAGGUGAAGUCCCUUGCGGAUGGAGCUGAAAUCAGUCGAAGAUACCAGCUGGCUGCAACUGUUUAUUAAAAACACAGCACUGUGCAAACACGAAAGUGGACGUAUACGGUGUGACGCCUGCCCGGUGCCGGAAGGUUAAUUGAUGGGGUUAGCCGCAAGGCGAAGCUCUUGAUCGAAGCCCCGGUAAACGGCGGCCGUAACUAUAACGGUCCUAAGGUAGCGAAAUUCCUUGUCGGGUAAGUUCCGACCUGCACGAAUGGCGUAAUGAUGGCCAGGCUGUCUCCACCCGAGACUCAGUGAAAUUGAACUCGCUGUGAAGAUGCAGUGUACCCGCGGCAAGACGGAAAGACCCCGUGAACCUUUACUAUAGCUUGACACUGAACAUUGAGCCUUGAUGUGUAGGAUAGGUGGGAGGCUUUGAAGUGUGGACGCCAGUCUGCAUGGAGCCGACCUUGAAAUACCACCCUUUAAUGUUUGAUGUUCUAACGUUGACCCGUAAUCCGGGUUGCGGACAGUGUCUGGUGGGUAGUUUGACUGGGGCGGUCUCCUCCUAAAGAGUAACGGAGGAGCACGAAGGUUGGCUAAUCCUGGUCGGACAUCAGGAGGUUAGUGCAAUGGCAUAAGCCAGCUUGACUGCGAGCGUGACGGCGCGAGCAGGUGCGAAAGCAGGUCAUAGUGAUCCGGUGGUUCUGAAUGGAAGGGCCAUCGCUCAACGGAUAAAAGGUACUCCGGGGAUAACAGGCUGAUACCGCCCAAGAGUUCAUAUCGACGGCGGUGUUUGGCACCUCGAUGUCGGCUCAUCACAUCCUGGGGCUGAAGUAGGUCCCAAGGGUAUGGCUGUUCGCCAUUUAAAGUGGUACGCGAGCUGGGUUUAGAACGUCGUGAGACAGUUCGGUCCCUAUCUGCCGUGGGCGCUGGAGAACUGAGGGGGGCUGCUCCUAGUACGAGAGGACCGGAGUGGACGCAUCACUGGUGUUCGGGUUGUCAUGCCAAUGGCACUGCCCGGUAGCUAAAUGCGGAAGAGAUAAGUGCUGAAAGCAUCUAAGCACGAAACUUGCCCCGAGAUGAGUUCUCCCUGACUCCUUGAGAGUCCUGAAGGAACGUUGAAGACGACGACGUUGAUAGGCCGGGUGUGUAAGCGCAGCGAUGCGUUGAGCUAACCGGUACUAAUGAACCGUGAGGCUUAACCUU